rnacentral:rRNA from 1 species
AAGUGGCAGACGUUAUUCGGAUUACUGGGCGUACAGGGAGCGUAGGCGGUUYGGUAAGYCCUMUGUGAAAUCYUUAGGCUUAACCUGGAAAUUCGGAUGGGACUGCCGGGCUWGAGGACGGNAGAGGAGCGCGGAAUUCCCGGUGUAGCGGUGAAAUGCGUAGAKAUCGGGAGGAACGCCGGUGGCGAAGGCGGCCCUCUGGAACGUUUCUGACGCUGAGGCUCGAAAGCGUGGGGAGCAAACAGGAUUAGAUACCCUGGUAGUCCACGCCUUAAACUAUGAAUACUAAGUGUCGGCGGGUUACCGCCGGUGCCGCAGCUAACKCAUUAAGUAUUCCGCCUGGGAAGUACGGCCGCACGGUUGAAACUCAC